CUCCUAGAGAAAGGAGUUUGGGUCAGACAGAGAGAGUGUGAGGGUAUUUGGCUGAUGGCUGCAACACUGGGCCAAGGACUCUCCUAGGGUCUGGCAAAAGAUCCAGGGCUGCAGGACUGGAGGAAGCAGCCUGGAGACCACAACAGGAAACUCACAUGAGAGAAGGAAGACCACUGCUGUGCUAAGGGAGCAGCACAAAGCCAGCAGCAGCUUCUCAGGGGCUGGGAAGAGACCCUAGGACUCGUUCACGUGAAGAGAGAAAGAAAGAGAAUGAAAACACAAAGUGAUCACUCAAGCACCACGUGAUAUACUUCGAACACCGAGAUGGAAUUAUAUCCCUGUAAAUUGCUAUGGCUCAUUCAUCACCUUCUGCUCCUUGAAUCCUUCACCAGCUGCUCAACUGUAGACUAAACAAGCAACAUGGAGCUGGAAAAGAAGUUUGCUAAAGGGCAGCUGCUGCAGCAUUUUGAAGGCAGAGAACAAAGUAUUGGAUACCAUAAGAACCGAUUCUCACAUAUUCACUUGCCUACAAAAAGCAGGGCUUUAAGAGAACACCCACAAUCUCCUGGGACUCGCAAGAGAGACGGCAAGACUGUUCUAGCUGGAGUUCCAGCAGCAUCAGAGGGAAAUCCUUCUGCGUAACAGAUAUCAACCUCUGUUCGGGGCCAGAAGAAUAAGCGCUGAUCAAAGCUGCUUCAUGUUGAGCUGCACCCAGUCCCCGAUGUUCCCUCCAGAUCGGACAGGAUUCUGCACCCGGCUUUCCGUGUUGAUAUUGAACAACUUCAUAUCAUUUUUGCGCAUAUUGUGGUACCAGGGUAGAGAGCAACCCUGCUUUCUCAAACCAUCUCAAAUCUCACUAUACAAAAUAUUCUUGGGGAUACGGUUUCCUCCUAUUCUCUUGACAUGGCCGAUCCAGGAUGACAUGACCAAGUGAUGGUGAAACUACUCAGAUAUCGCCUGAUGCCCUAGAGAUGGCCUCUGUUCAAUGAUAACAUCAGCCCUUCUGCAUCAUCGUACCAAUCAAAGAAGGCAGUACUGCAGGAAAACAUUUUGAUUUAACCAUUUGCUAGAUCAAAGUCCUGUCCUGCAGCCUGUAGUCACAUCGUAUCACAUAAUAUCUUCAGUCCGUAAUGGUUUCAGUGUCAUAUGAUAUACAACCGGUUUUAUGACAUACAGCCUGUCAUAUGAUAUAUGCUGAUAUACUGCGUUCCAAAUUUCAAACCAGGCCUCUAAAUUUGUGCCUAUGAAAAACAAGCCUAUUUUUGCACAUGUGAAUCAGAAGUAUAAAUCAAUUACUGAAUGCAAUAAUGCAGAAACACAAGAACACGGAACUGGAGCGGGCCUCCUGGGUCAAUGAAUCCAGAUCCUACUCUCACAAGCAACCAUCUCACGUAGUCCCGUUCAGAUAUUCAUGGAGCCCCGGUUUACAAGUAGUUCCAGUUCGGCCCCAUUGCUCUGACAGCACGGCUGCCCAAGGAUCUCUGCCUUCUGAUGGCUGGAAACCUCUUUCCAGUUUCCAUUUUAAAUGUAUUCAGGUCCAAUUUAUACCCACUUUUCUUGUGUUAGCAUUAUU